AAAAGCUGAAGGGAUUGUAGUUAAAGGGCAGGCAGCUGGCAGGAAUGAGACUAAUGAGCAACCCCUGUGCUCCAGCUAGACAAUAGGCUGGGCUGACUGGAAGGGGAAGGGCUUAAGGGAGUAAACAGGCUGGCCCACAGGUUAGGGCAGCACAUGCUAACCCUGGCUGGAGAUGAGGCAGGACUCCCAGGUGGACCACAGUAGUGUCCAAAAGCAAUUAGGGGAAACCUGUUUACCCAGAGGAUGAGGAGCAGCUAUGAGGGGAAGUGGAAGCUGCAUUGCAGAUCCAGCAAUAAAUUAAGGCAUAUCAAGACAUGCUGUCAUCACUUUUAAGAACCUAUCAAGAGAGAAAGAAGUCUUUGUCAAUGUUCCUUCUUCACACUUAGUUGAUUUUAACAAUCAGUAUGCAAUGCAAACCAUCAUCUCUGAGACCAUGAAACCCAGGAUAGCACCAGUCGAUGUUAUGGGAUUUUAGUACUGUUUGAUGGGUUCUGUGGCAGCUUAUUAGAUCCUUUCCCGCUUUGAGGGCAACUGAUGAAGACAAUCAAAAUCAUCUGAUAUUCUUAAUAGUGAGCAUCUGAAGUAAAAUCAAAGAGAUGCAUAACAAAGAAUGCAAUCCCUGCAAGAUACAGUCAGCUACAAUUCCCUUUUAUGUUAAAAUGUCAACAGCUUUUCAUAGAUAACUAAAAUGUUGGUUAGUGAUUACUGAGCACUAUUAAAGUAUGCAAUAAGGGAAUGCCUGCUGCCAGUGGGAUUUCUUGAAAGCAGAGAAGGAUGCGCUAUAAUCACCAAAACGACAUCAAAUUAGUUGUGUAAGGCAAGAUAUAAUUAAAGCAAACAUCAGGCACAUUUUUAUAAACAUCAGUGCAACAAUGUGACUAAUCUGCUCAUUUCUGCAAAGUGUACUUACAUAUACAAAUUUUACUCUCGUUUCAUAUUAAGAAAGUGGCACAGAGGUUACCAUAUAUAAUAUGUAUUAAUUAUAAGACCUGUAAUAAAAUUAUUUCUAUCUUUAUAGCAAGGUUUUUUUAACUUUCUUUUUAUUGGAAAAUUUUAAUGCCAUGCAUAUUUUGUAAAUGGGGUAUGAACCACAUGAAAAACAAUGAUCCUAUCAAUAAAGGCAAAUUACAAGAUAACAUGAUUCUUUGAGGUGUUGAACACCCUCAAGAGUUAUCCAAAUUCAGUGGAAAUGUAGAGUGCUCAGUGUCUUAGAGGAAUGAAGACAGAAUUCUGCUUACAAUUAGGAAAGUUUAUUUUACAGUUUACUUGUGGUUCAGAAAGAAUCUCCCACCAUUUUCCUUACUCAGACAAAGUUCUCUCACUAAUUCCACUAGGAGCUUUGACAGAGGAAGUGCUGGAGGGCUGAGUCCAUUAUAUGCCAGGUUGCUAUAUUACAGCUAAUAUAUGAGAAGAAGAAUGAUUUAGACAGGAAAUUGUUCUUUUUGUGAAGGAAAAGUUUACAGUAUCUUAAUCAAAAUUUGCCUUUAAAGGAUUUUGCUACAUUGUAGAAAUGUUCAGCUUUACUUGAAGCCAGUGGUUUCCAGUGUGUGGUUUGUGGGAAGUAUGUUGCUUAAAAGUUCUUCCAAUAUUGCUUACAAGAAACAAAAAAAGUUAAAAAUGUAGUUGGUGGAGGAACAAAGUGUAACGUUACCCAUAGUGCAUUAUUUGAUUAGUACUGUGGCCACUAAAGGUGAAGAAGCACUGCUCUAAACUUUGUGUAAAAUUUACUGUUAAUAUACAGAUAAGAGGGAAUAAAUUCCAUCCAAUCUAGACUUUCUGUAGGCUAGGUCGAGACGAUGAAGGUUCUCAAAAAUGGAUGGCAAGUAAAAUAUUAAGUAUUUAUUAGCCAAGAGAGUCAAAGGACAUGUCAAUCGUUAUCUUACAGCACAGAGGACAGUAGAUCUAUACACUUAGCAAUAUCUUGACCCUUUUAAAAUAUGUAAUUCUGUGAAUUCUACCUUCAGAAAAUGUAAUUGAUCACCAUUAAUUUUUUUUAUGAAUGGUGGGAAGGUAAAAUGAGAGCUCUCUCUUUUUUUUUGGUAAACUGUACUUUUAUCCUUCAUGGACAAAGACAACUGCAUCCAGCAGGAGGAAGGGAGGGAAGAAGAGAGGAAAGACCUGGGAAGGAGAAAAGAGAAAAGGAGAAAGAAGGAAAAGGGAAGAGAAAGAAGGGGGGCAGAAGCUAGGUCAUGUGAGUAUGUAGGUGACUUAUAAGUCUGAUCUUUGCUUUGAACAGUCUGCUGCAGCAGGGGCAGGAGAGCAAUGAGGACUGGAUACAGGAGGUUUUUGUUUUCCUAGCCAUGUGUUUCUUCAUUGCUUCUGCCAUGUGUUGCUGUUCAAAGGCCAAUGCUCCAUUCUGGAUUUGGGACCUCUAGGGUGGAUGGUCACGAUCGUUUGCUCCCAUGACUCUGGGUCAAUGCCAAAACUCUUUAGGGACACCUUUAGGGUGUCCUUGUACCGCUUCUUUGGUGGGCCGCAAAAGCGUUCUCCAUUUGACAGUUUGCCAUAGAAGACUUUCUUUGGCAGGCAAGUGUCAGGCAUUCUUGAGAGGUGGCCGGCCCAUCUUAGGUAUGCCAGUUUCAGCAGGGUGUGAAUACUGAGGAGAGUUGAUCUUCUAAGCACACCUCAGUGUCCGGAAUCUUGUCUUGCCACUUGACCUUUAAUAUCUUUCGCAGGCAGCACAAGUGGAAGUGGUUUAGUUUCUUGGUAUGAUGCUGAUAAAUUGUCCAGGUUUCGCAGGCAUAAAGGAGGGUCGGAAGGAUGAUGGCUUUGUAAACUUUCAGUUUUGUCAACAUUCUAAUGCCUCUGUGGUCCCAGACUGACUUACAGAGUCUGCCAAAGGCCACCCUAGCUUUCGCUAAUCUCGCGUUGACUUCAUCAUCAAUGUGGACAGCAUGGGAGAGCGUGCUGCCUAGACGGGCAAACUUGUCGACCAUCAACAGUUGUUGGCCUUUAACUGAGAUGUGUGGUUCCUGGAGUUUUGUGCCAGGUGCAAGUUGAAACUGAAGAUUUUAAAAAUAACCUUUGAAGCAUGAUAGAGAAUAACAUGAACGUUCAAAUAACCAAGAAAAGAAAUGUGCUGUAUAGGGGCUUUCUGGCCUAGAAGCAUGUGUCUUAUUGAAUCGCUUCUGAUAUGCAGACACAUUUGCUCCAGUAUUUAUAUGAUGGUCACCAUAUGAAUUGUCCAAUUAAUCUUUUCUUAACUGAAUAAGCCUAUCAAGACUUCUUGAAAACAACGUGAAGAAAAAAUGGCUCAUUUAAUGUAUCAGAGAAUGCUGGGAUGACUGCUAAGGGUGUGAAACUGCUAAACAUUUUUUUUCUUAGAAAAACCUGAUUUACUGAUGGCCAGGAAUCCAGGUUUUCCAAUUGCUGUGGAAAAAUGCUAAUUUUUAAAGGAGAAAAACACAGGGAACUGCUGGUUUCCUCUUGUAGGCUGGCAGAAUUACAUCAUGCACACAAGCACAAGGCCAGCAAUACAUUCAGGCAGUGGUGGAGAGCAGGUCCCCCAGCUGCUAGCAGGUAAGACUAUGAGGGGGGAGGGAAGGGGCAUAGGUGAUGGGGGGCGGGCACAGAUUAAGGCAGCCAUGGUGAGGGAGGGAGUGGGUCAGGGUUGGCAUCUGGGGCUGGGGACACUGCCCAGCUGGGCUGGUGCCCAGGGCCAGGGUAGGAAUGUGUGGCCACACAGCUCACCCAGUGGGCUUUUGUGGGGCUGGCUCCCUGCCACUGCACACACUCCUGGGGAGGGGUUGGGCACUACAGGUGACAUGGGAGGGGGGGGUAUGGGAGGGCAUGCAUCCCCACCAGACUUGUGUGGGGCAGGGUAGGAUGCAGGUUGCCUGUUGCAGGCCUUGGGGCUCCCCAUCCUGCCCUCCCCCCCCGGCAGCCUCCACAAUCCAGUGAGUAGGAUCCAGCAUGGGAUGCUGGAGUGGAAUAGUGAGACUCUCACUGUUGCUGCCACCACCACUAGGAGUCCUGUACUGCCAAGGCAAGGCACUCCCUGCCACCUGGCAGCAGUGGGAGUGGUGGUGGAGGUGCAGAGUUGUGCCCUCCUGCUGCUGAUGGGUAGGCAGGGGGUGCCUUACCUUGGCAGUGAAGCUAGCGUGGGCCUUCCAGGGGCAGUGGUGGUAGCAGCAGCACCAUGCCUCCUCACUCUCCUUCUCCAAAUCCCACCCUCAGGGCUGUAGAGGCCCCUAGAGGGAAGGCAAAUGCAUGAGGAACCCUGAGCCCUACAGUAGGCAGCCCACAUUCAGCUCCACCCCACACAGGCUUUGUUCGGCUCCACUCCAGCUGUGUUGCUGGGGUGGGAGGGAACCAGACUCCACAGUCCCUCCAGCUGCAGCAGCUGCCAUCUCCUGUGUGGUAGCUGGGGUUCAGGUGCUGCUGGCAGUAGGGGGCCCCUCCAACAGGACUGAGGAGCAUCAGCAGGGCCAGGGGGCUGUGGGUUGGGAGUAAGGGGCACUGAUGGCUGGGGAGGCUGUGGCUUGGGAGUGAGGAGCACUGAUAAAUCAGGGCAACUCAGCACCACCAAGCAGCAGUGGGGACAGCCACAGCUGGACCCUCAUCCUGGUGAGAGAAGCGGGUAGGAGGCACUCUGAU